CGCACAUUGCGCCCCAUGGUAUUCCGUGGGGCAUACCUGUUCGAGCGUCAUUACAGCAACCUCUCCAGCGCUGCUGGGUCUUGGGGCGUGCCUUCCCGGGCAUCCCCUAAAACGAGAUGCGGCGCCGCGUCGGCUCUCAGCGUAGUACUCCUCUCGCUCUGGGCCCGGCGUGGUGCUGGCUACCGAACCCUAACCCUCCAAGGUUGACCUCGAAUCAGGUAGGGAUACCCGCUGAACUUAA
rnacentral:misc_RNA from 1 species